AGUGAACGCUGGCGGUAGGCCUAACACAUGCAAGUCGAACGGCAGCACAGGAGAGCUUGCUCUCUGGGUGGCGAGUGGCGGACGGGUGAGGAAUACAUCGGAAUCUACUCUGUCGUGGGGGAUAACGUAGGGAAACUUACGCUAAUACCGCAUACGACCUACGGGUGAAAGCAGGGGACCUUCGGGCCUUGCGCGAUUGAAUGAGCCGAUGUCGGAUUAGCUAGUUGGCGGGGUAAAGGCCCACCAAGGCGACGAUCCGUAGCUGGUCUGAGAGGAUGAUCAGCGACACUGGAACUGAGACACGGUCCAGACUGCUACGGGAGGCAGCAGUGGGGAAUAUUGGACAAUGGGCGCAAGCCUGAUCCAGCCAUACCGCGUGGGUGAAGAAGGCCUUCGGGUUGUAAAGCCCUUUUGUUGGGAAAGAAAUCCAGCUGGCUAAUACCCGGUUGGGAUGACGGUACCCAAAGAAUAAGCACCGGCUAACGUCGUGCCAGCAGCCGCAGUAA
rnacentral:rRNA from 1 species